CUGCUGCCUCCCGUAGGAGUCUGGGCCGUGUCUCAGUCCCAAUGUGGCCGUUCAACCUCUCAGUCCGGCUACUGAUCGUCGCUUUGGUGGGCCAUUACCCCGCCAACUGGCUAAUCAGACGCGAGCUCAUCUUUGGACGAUAAAUCUUUGGCAGCAAAAUCAUGCGGUCUCGCUGCAUCAUGCGGUAUUAGCAGUCGUUUCCGGCUGUUAUCCCCCAUCCAAAGGCAGAUUGCU
rnacentral:rRNA from 1 species